rnacentral:snoRNA from 2 species
AAGACUAUACUUUCAGGGAUCAUUUCUAUAGUUUGUUACUAGAGAAGUUUCUCUGAAUGUGUAGGGUACCCGAAACCACGAGGAGGAGGUGUAGUAUCCCUUCCUGAGCGUGAAACUGGCUUUGGGCAUCACUUUGUUGUUGCCCAUUGUUCUUGAUGAUCGUUCUUUUUUCUCCUUCGGGGGGAAUUAGAGGGAAGGGAUACCGUCUGAGUGGUU